rnacentral:lncRNA from 1 species
AAACCCACAUGCAUGAGCAGGUGCCAAAGUACAAGACUCAUCUCAGCGCAUGACAAAUAUGAGGUUAGUGUAACACCUCUAGAAAAAAACCUGAACUCUGCCUUAUCUUGGUAAAAGGGAUAGAAAUUGGAAGGUAGAAUUGAAUGUCACGUUAAUGUGAGAAACUGUGUGUGAAAAAAACAUCAAAUUCAUGCAAAGUCGUCUUAGGAACAUUGUGUCUGCAUCACAGACGAACAUUUUCCCUGCCUGUUAGUCUUGCCUGUUGCCUGGUCAAAGCAAAUGCACCAUGAAAUAGCCGGUGCAGAUGCUUUUUUUCUGGUGGUCUAUGUUGUUCAUAAGCUGAAGCCAGUGUGGGGGCUAUGUAGAGACUUUCUGCUUCCCCCUUGUCACUCUAUAUUUGGUCUUAUAUUCAAAGACAGGCUAGAACAGCAAAAGAAUAUCACUCCCAUGUGUUUCACAGCAGACCGAAGUGGAAUUCAGAGACUUAUGUAAGCCAGAGAUUUCAUUAUGGACUUGUCACGCUCAAGAAGCACAAUAUACUCCUGUAUUUGAUUUCACUACUGAAACCAGAAGUGGUCAGAUUUAGCUUAAUGUUCUUCUUCUUUUCUCUUCCCUAAGUUCACUCUGUUCACUUCCUCACACAACAGUUAAAUCGUUUUAUUUUCCUAACAUGUCUCCUUUGUGUUGAGUUUCUGCAGUCUUUAAGAAGUAGCCCUUUGGAAAGAUGUUUCUCUGUUCUAAAAUGAAGUUCAUUCAUUCAUUCAAAACAGCCGCACUCGCAGUCAGAAACCAGACAGAAGCUCUUUCAAUGGGGGAGGGGCAUUAAAGUCAGUCAAUCCCAUUAAGCCAAUCAGAAAGUAGCAUGUGGUGUGACCAAGCCUGUGUUGCAUAACGUCUGAACUAGACAGAGACUGUCUACCUCCGCAGACUCAACAAUCUUCACACGCAACACUCCCUGCACUGGUAGUUUUUGUGCACAUGCAAAAUGUGGCUGCACUCGAGCCUCACCCAUCUUCUUUUGACUGCUUUGAGACCCACACCACAAAAAAACCAAACAAAAAAACAGGUAUCAUUAACUGAGAUAUCUGGGUCACUACAACAGGAGAACACUUAGUACACUUAGUACUAUGUUUAUUAUUUUUAAAUCUUAUUUUAUUUGUUUUAUUAAAUCAGUUGCAGGUGCAGGUAUUUUUAAGCCAUUUUAACUUUUUUUAUUUAGUUUUUGAAGAAAAGAUAUUUGAAGAAAAUAUAUUCUCUGUGAUUAUCAAAUGUCUUGACUCUCUCUGUACUCUGGUAUAAUUAAAAUCGUGUACAUAACAUUUUUCUGAUAAAAUUAAUUUCUGAUUGAUUCUUUCCAAUUGUAUACAGAAUACAGCUAUAAUCAGUCUUUGUAGAUGAGGUAAGAUUUUGCUCUACUACCCUGUUGGUAAGGAUAAAGAGCUACUGUAUGAACUUUGUGAUUCAUCACUCAUACUAAAGUGACUGAUUGUUGUGUUCAGGGCAUCCCAGGAUUGUGGUUGGCAACCUGAUACUAGAGGACAGAGCAAAUACAUUAGACCUUGAUUGAAUUCAUCUAUCGGGUAUUUUGUAACACUGAAAUGCAAUAUGUGACUCUGUAUGGUGUGAUAAUAACAGAUUAUUGGAUCCACUGGCUGAGGGGCAAAAUCCAUGCUUAAAAAACUCUUUGCAAACAAGUGAUUCACUCAACUUAAGCUCAACCUCUUAUGUUACUUUUUCUGUAAAGCAAUGUCUUGUUGUUAUUAGUCUUACUUGAAUAAAAUUAGUUUUAGUUUAAUAUAUCUAAAUAAAAGGAUGAAUGGAGCAAUUGUAUGUGCAAACACAGUAAGCGGUAUUACAUGAUACACAUGGCAGGUGUUGAGCUCUUUGUUGGUCUAAGCUGAGGGUCAAAAUAAGAGGAGCCACAGGGGAGCGGGUUCAAAGUGUUUGUCAUGCAUUAAAACAGAGGAAAUGAUUGGCCAAGCGGUAAAAACAACCUUGGAAUUGGAAAACACAAAGGCAACUUGCAUCCCCUGAGGACAAGGUUUUGUCUGAGCAAGAGUCAAACAAGGUCAAGGUUUUACUUCUUUGGCCGGUACAUGAUAGAGGAAAUAUUUUUGAGUGUUUUUUUCCUCCUGGACUUCAUUGAGGUGGUUGAAUACAGGAAAAGAAUAGUUUCAGAUGUGAUUUAUUAACAGACUUAAGCAAAAACUGAAUUACCAGAACCUGUGCCCUAAAUAGCCAGUGGCCUGUUAAAAUAUCAGAAAGCUGCAGAUGGUGUAUUACAGCAGUUAAAUCAGGGAUAAUUUGAAGCAAAUCAAGCCCAUGACUGAGACCUCAGCGCUAGAUUAUUAUAUUUCACCUGCUGGAAAUUCCACUUAUUUCCUGUGUUAUAUCACCGCGAUAAGAUUCAAUUGAGGAAUGAUUUGAAAUCCUCCCGGCUCUUCCUGGUGCUGCUUCAGCUGCAGUGUAGUCCUCACAAAGCACUAUUCAGGUCUGACUGUGCAUAUUUCACAGAGUUUCCUGAGAGAAAGCUAUUCUGGCCCACUGACAACACAAACACGAUCACUCUUCUACGGCCACAGGGGCUUGUGGGCCAGUUGGACAGGAAGGAUCACCAGCCUUCUUCAGAGUCAUUUCCUCUGAGCUGUCAAAGCGCCAGUCAGCCACUACAGAGUGGGUUAACUCCCUCAUAAUGUCGAGGUAGUGCUGCGCUGGCAUAGGGCCCAGCUGUUUCCUGUGUCUGCUUAAGGAGGAGCCUCUGACUCUGGACCAGAUAUCAUCUCCCCACAGAAGAUACUGGGAUACUGGAGGACAUGGUGCUAGUUCUCAAACAAACAUGGAGUAAAUCACUUUUCUGUCUCACGUGCCGCAACCACAAUGCUGCUAACAUAGAAGUAAACAAAAAUACAUUUUAGGUUCAUAUUCAAGCUUUAGAAAUACACUUUUAUUUUCUGCAAUGUCAAUUUCUAAUACAUAUGUGAAGAUCAAACUACUGUCAUGUCUGUAUGCUAGAGUUGGGUGAUAUUUAGUUUAAGACCGUAAGCAGGGACUAAAGAGCUCACCCAGCUCAUUUUAUGUAUGGUGAGCAGGUGUUUAUGUGGAUCACAAUUCCAACAGGGUGAGCAAAAUCUUGACAGAGAGGUCUUGUCCAACCCAUCACCCUCUUUAACCACUUCCUAAGAAAAUGUUUUCUGCUUUAUAUCCUGCAACCAAUGAAAGACAUAAACAAACCAGCGUGACUUAAUAAUGUAAAGAUAAAUUUACCGAUAAAAAUAAGUCCCCUUGAGUUUGAAGGCGCUAAUGGGUUUUGACACAUCAGAGUCAAGUGUUUAAGACAAAUUUAGCAGAAUUAAACUGGAAAGGCCAAUCUUGUCUGUUUAAUCCUAAUUCAUACUUCUCAAGGACAGUUUAAUACAUCUUUGUGGCAGCCACUUUCUUCUGAGAAAACCCUGAAUAUAUGGCUCUACCUUACUCCUAAAAGAAUUGAACCUGGCAGUCUUUAUUGUUUGACCUCUUUUUAAGUCAAUUAGCUACUAAGAACCAGCGAAGGAAAAUCUAGCGGGUCUUGUUUCAAAGGAGAAAAGGUUUUUAACAUCCCAUUGGCCACAGAUUGACAAAAGUGAAUCUAAACAUCCAGCUAGCUACCAUUAUGUUAGCUAGGUGUACUUUUGUGCCUGAUAGUUCAUCUUUUCUAAUUUAUCAACAGUGACUCAAGUUUUAAGCUUGCCACAUCUGAUGAUGUUGAGCUCAUCUCUCUACAUCUUUCCAUACAUGGGAAGAUUGAUGCUGCUGUGACUUUUAAAUGCGAAAGAUGAGUGAUGAUGCCAGUUUGGUUGAGCAUGAACAGCAGGGGAAAACCUACUUUGGCUCUGCCCACAGUUGAUAGUUUCAGUUUCACAAAGCAUUAUGUAAUUUCUUUAAAUAGAUAUUUAACUGAUUAAGAAGAUAAGUUGUGAUUUUAUGAGUGUUAAUGCCUUUUUUUCUGCUAAAAUAAAACUUAAAAAAAACUGUAUGGGUUUAUUUUUUCUUUUUAUGUCAAAUAUGUUGUUUUCUUUCAGGUUACAGUGAUGUGAAAGGAAGUAAGAGUAGUGGCAUGGAGCUACAUACCUGGGUAGAAAACAUGCCCAUAAUGGGCAGCACGGAUCAAAACUGGAUCUCCGGAUAAACUUUUGCCCUUCCACUCCAAGUUAUGGCAUGUGACAUUUCAAUCACCUGACCUAUAUUCGUUCACAUGUUGCAUGUUCCUCUCCCUCUAAUCUCUGGCUCACUUGGUUUUGUUUUUAGGUCAUGUGGAUCACAGAUGAGAGAACAUUCCUGCUGACCAUUGUGUGUUCAAACGUGUUUGAAGGGCGCCAGUACAGGUUGGGCUGGGUGAGUGUCUUUCUUCUGUAUAGCACAAAUACAAUGAGCAGAUUAAGGUCAUGGUUUCAUAACUUGCUCUUUUUUGUCUUCGUCCAGUGUCCCUGCAAUCGUUCUUCAGGCCGUUGCUCUGGUCAUACUUAUUGAAUAGUUUGAUUUAGGGCUGUUUCCUGCCCAGGACUGGCCCCCAGACUAUAAUAACCCAUUCACCAGAGCAGAGGUCAGGUUCUCUCUUUUCCACCACACUUUUUGUCUGAAAGUAGAGGCAUGUCUCUACACCAAUGAACUGAUGACAGCAACUGUAAUUAGUCUUAAUUACAUCUAAGUGUUUGAAUAGUUCAUGAGUAAUGUCCUUUUACAGUAUAUCUAUUCAAACACCAGCUUCUGUUUCGUGACGAUAAAAUACACUAAAACAAACUGAGAUGGUGAGUAUCUGAAUUAAAUAAAGUAAAACUUUCUGUGUAUAUAGAACAGUCCAUGUCUAGAUCAGGAUUUUAAUCUAGAUCUAUUCUGUAAAUCCAAUCAACCUUGUUUAAAGAGAAAAGCAAACUUUUGAUAGUUAUCUUAACAGCGGUUCAAAGUAUGAUGUUAGUCGGCUGAUAUGGAUUUUCACUGCUGCGGGGACCUGCAACUAUGAGCCGACACUCUGGAGUUCAUUCCCAAUAUUCUGUGCUUAUGUGGUAAAUCUGAUCUGAAGCUUGAAAGCGGAUAAAAGAAAACUUUACCUCUCUCUAAGACCCUAUGUAAGAAGCUAAAAUGUGCUUAUCACCACAAAUAAAUCCAUUUGUAAAUAA